UCAUCCUGGCCCGUUGCGGUAGACCGCGCA
rnacentral:sRNA from 1 species